AACGAACGCUGGCGGCAUGCCUAACACAUGCAAGUCGAACGAGACCUUCGGGUCUAGUGGCGCACGGGUGCGUAACACGUGGGAAUUUGCCUCGGGGUAUGGAAUAACUCAGGGAAACUUGAGCUAAUACCAUAUAAUGUCUUCGGACCAAAGAUUUAUCGCCCUGAGAUAAGCCCGCGUAGGAUUAGCUAGUUGGUGAGGUAAAGGCUCACCAAGGCGACGAUCCUUAGCUGGUCUGAGAGGAUGAUCAGCCACACUGGGACUGAGACACGGCCCAGACUCCUACGGGAGGCAGCAGUGGGGGAAUAUUGGACAAUGGGCGGAAAGCCUGAUCCAGCAAUGCCGCGUGAGUGAUGAAGGCC
rnacentral:rRNA from 1 species